rnacentral:rRNA from 1 species
AGUCUCUUAAUUGGYGACUUGUAUGAAGGAUUGGAUGAAAUAUAUACUGUUUCUUUAUUAAUAGUAAAAUUUAAUUUUUUAAUUAAAAAGUUAAAAUAAAUUUAAAAGACGAGAAGACCCCAUAGAGCUUUAUAUAAUUAUUAAUUGGUAUUAUUUAUAAAGUUGAAAAUUAAAAUUAAUAUUUAUAUUUUAUUGGGGUGAUAAAAAAAUUAAUAUAACUUUUUUUUUGUUUAAACAUAAUUAAGUGAAUAUAAUGAUCCAAAAUUUUUGAUUAUAAGAUUAAGUUACCUUGGGGAUAACAGCGUAAUUUUUUUUUUUAGUUCAAAUAAAAARAAAAGUUUGCGACCUCGAUUUUGGAUUAAAAUAAAAUUUAAAUGC